rnacentral:SRP_RNA from 1 species
GCCGGGCUUGGUAGCGCAAGCCUGUGACCCUAGUGGGGGCAUUCUGGUGGUAGAACAUUGGCACCUUAUCUGAAGUCUUCCGACCAAAACAAAGCGGCUUUGGUUGGUCUCAAACUAGGCUACUG